rnacentral:rRNA from 1 species
GGGUCAGUAGGCUGGUCGUGCCACCGGUACGUACUGGUCUCACUGAUUCCUCCUCCCUGAAGAACCGUAAUGCCAUUAAUUUGGUGUCGCGGGGAAACAGGACUGUUCCUUUGAAAAAAUUAGAGUGUUUAAAGCAAGCUAACGCUUGAAUACAUUAGCAUGGAAUAAUGAAAUAGGACGAUCGAUCCUAUUUUGUUGGUUUCUAGGAUUGACGUA